rnacentral:rRNA from 1 species
UAGAGAGAGACAUGCGCGCAUAUCAAUAAGCGGAGGAAAAGAAACUAACAAGGAUUCCCCUAGUAACGGCGAGUGAAGCGGGAAGAGCUCAAAUUUGAAAUCUUAAAGGGUUUCCCUUUACGAAUUGUAGUUUAGAGAAGUGUUUUCUGUUGAGGUUUUGGUAAAAGUUCUUUGGAAUAGGACAUCAUAGAGGGUGAGAAUCCCGUAUUUGACCUUUACUUUCAACUUUGUGAUACACUUUCAAAGAGUCGGAUUGUUUGGGAAUGCAGUCCAAAAUGGGUGGUAAAUUUCAUCUAAAGCUAAAUAUUGGCGAGAGACCGAUAGCGAACAAGUACCGUGAGGGAAAGAUGAAAAGAACUUUGAAAAGAGAGUUAAACAGUACGUGAAAUUGUCAAAAGGGAAGCGUUUGACACCAGUGUUGUUUUUCUGAAAAUCAAUUAAAGAACUGUUUAUGCUAAGCUGUUUAGACUUUAUCAGCUAUACUGUUUAGUUUUGAGCUUUUCUUUAAUGCACUUUUCAGUUAACAAGUCAACAUCAAUUUCUUUUGCUGUAAAAAGCUUGAGGAAGGUGGCUUGAGAUUCGUCUUAAGUGUUUAUAGCCUCUUGCCUAUGCAGUCGGAGAGAUUGAGGUCUGCAGCGUAGAUCCUUCGGGGCUAAAUGCAUUUGUGCUAAGUUAUAGCAUUUUAUAGACAACUUGUUGACUAUGAUUUGUCUUGUAGCUUACUCGCUUAUGUUAUUUUACCUACGCUUAGGAUGUUGAGCGCAUGUCUCUCUCU